AGUGGCUCAUUCACCUGGUUAAGACAGCCCUGCGAAAGCGGUCAAGUGCUUCUUAACAACCCGAAUGACGCACAAAACGGUGCCUGCCGUCCAAAAAAACCGAUAACAGACCUUCAGUGGCUUUAUCAAGCAUCGGACGCAACGUUGAGCCAGGCACCACCUC
rnacentral:sRNA from 1 species